rnacentral:tRNA from 1 species
GGUGCGGUGGUGUAGCUCAGCCAACAUGCGUGCUUGUCGGACACGCGACCGGAGUUCAAAUCCCCACCGCACCG